rnacentral:rRNA from 1 species
GACGAACGCUGGCGGCGUGCCUAAUACAUGCAAGUCGAGCGGACGGAAGGAAGCUUGCUUCCUAAAGUCAGCGGCGGACGGGUGAGUAACACGUGGGCAACCUGCCCCUAAGAUCGGGAUAACUUCGGGAAACCGGAGCUAAUACCGGAUAUGAUUAUGUCUCACAUGAGACAUAAUGGAAAGACGGUUUCGGCUGUCACUUAGGGAUGGGCCCGCGGCGCAUUAGCGAGUUGGUGAGGUAACGGCUCACCAAGGCGACGAUGCGUAGCCGACCUGAAAGGGUGAACGGCCACACUGGGACUGAGACACGGCCCAGACUCCUACGGGAGGCAGCAGUAGGGAAUCUUCCACAAUGGGCGAAAGCCUGAUGGAGCAACGCCGCGUGAGUGAGGAAGGCUUUCGGGUCGUAAAGCUCUGUUGCCAGGGAAGAACGCCUAAGAGAGUAACUGCUCUUAGGGUGACGGUACCUGAGAAGAAAGCCCCGGCUAACUACGUGCCAGCAGCCGCGGUAACAC